rnacentral:rRNA from 1 species
GGGGGAGGUUGCUUUGGUAACUGACCUAGCGGCGGACGGGUGAGUAAUGCUUAGGAAUCUGCCUAUUAGUGGGGGACAACAUUCCGAAAGGAAUGCUAAUACCGCAUACGCCCUACGGGGGAAAGCAGGGGAUCUUCGGACCUUGCGCUAAUAGAUGAGCCUAAGUCGGAUUAGCUAGUUGGUGGGGUAAAGGCCUACCAAGGCGACGAUCUGUAGCGGGUCUGAGAGGAUGAUCCGCCACACUGGGACUGAGACACGGCCCACACUCCUACGGGAGGCAGCAGUGGGGAAUAUUGGACAGUGGGCGGAAGCCUGAUCCAGCCAUGCCGCGUGUGUGAAGAAGGCCUUUUGGUUGUAAAGCACUUUAAGCGAGGAGGAGGCUCCUUUAGUUAAUACCUAAAGAGAGUGGACGUUACUCGCAGAAUACGCACCGGCUAACUCUGUGCCAGCAGCCGCGGUAAUUACAGAGGGUGCGAGCGUUCAUCGGAUUUACUGGGCGUAAAGCGUGCGUACGCGGCUUUUUAAGUCGGAUGUGAAAUCCCUGAGCUUAACUUAGGAAUUGGAUUCGAUACUGGGGAGCUAGAGUAUGGGAGAGGAUGGUAGAAUUCCAGGUGUAGCAGUGAAAUGCGUAUAGAUCUGGAGGAAUACCGAUGGCGAAUGCAGCCAUCUGGCCUAAUACCGACCCUGAGGUACGAAUCAUGCGGAGCAUACAUGAUUAGAUACCCUGGUAGUCCAUGCCGUAAACGAUGUCUACUACCCGUUGGCGCCUUUGAGGCUUUAGUGGCGCAGCUAACACGAUAAGUAGACCGCCUGCGGAGUACGGUCGCAAGACUAACACUCAUAUGACUUGACGCG